rnacentral:rRNA from 1 species
GACGAACGCUGGCGGCGUGCUUAACACAUGCAAGUCGAGCGGUAAGGCCCUUUCGGGGGUACACGAGCGGCGAACGGGUGAGUAACACGUGGGUGACCUGCCCUCAGCUCUGGGAUAAGCCUGGGAAACUGGGUCUAAUACUGGAUAUGACUCCACGGUGCAUGUCGUGGGGUGGAAAGCCUUGUGCGGCUUGAGGGAUGGGCCCGCGGCCUAUCAGCUUGUUGGUGGGGUGAGNGGCCUACCAAGGCGACGACGGGUAGCCGGCCUGAGAGGGCGACCGGCCACACUGGGAC